GGAAACAUUGUAUUUUUUUUAUAUUUGUAGAAAAAUAUGAGAGAGUGACGCUAGGUGCUGUUUUACAGUUCUAAACAGUGGCUAGCAAAACCAAAAAAAGACUACAAGGAGUGACCCAGAUAAAUGGCUACUGAACUUCACUUCACUUCACACUUAAAACCUCAGUAAAAUAGACAAGGUGAGCAGGGCUCCUGGUGGUAAUACAGGCCACCCUGCAGUCCUGCAUAAUGACAGCAGCCAUAGGGUGAUGGGAAGUGGCUGUACCACAGGUCCUCAGCCAGCGGACACUUUGGACAGGAGUAAAG